UACGAAGGGGGCUAGCGUUGCUCGGAAUCACUGGGCGUAAAGCGCACGUAGGCGGAUUGUUAAGUCAGGGGUGAAAUCCUGGAGCUCAACUCCAGAACUGCCUUUGAUACUGGCGAUCUUGAGUCCGGGAGAGGUGAGUGGAACUGCGAGUGUAGAGGUGAAAUGCGCAGAUAUCAGGAAGAACACCCGUGGCGAAGGCGGCUCUCUGGGACGGUACUGACGCUGAGACGCGAAAGCGUGGGGAGCGAACAGG
rnacentral:rRNA from 1 species